ACCGAAUUGGUGUAGGGGUUAACAUUCAGGAUUCUCAUUAGAAGUUAUCUUGAGCCAGGAGUUCGAGUCUCCUAUUCGGUG